GCACUUACCUGGCUUUCCCUGUCUGGGUGUCCUUCUCUGGUAAAAGGGCAGAGGCGAAUUCCUGUGUCAGGGGGCCACUGUGAGCAUUAGUGAAGGGCAGAAAGGGACCUUCAGCACAGUGCCGGGUGUGGUGUGUGGUCAGCAAAGGUCAGCUGCUGUCAUUGUCCUGCUGCCCGGGCUGGCGCAGGAGACGGCCGCCAGCUGAAAGUCAAAGACCUUCUCAAUUCCCGAAUACACCAGAAAAUCCCACCUACUCUGGCAGAAGCUCCCAGCAAGCUUAACUGGGUCUAAUUCCACUCUUCAUCAACUUUGAGAAAAGAGUAAGAGAGUCAGGUGGAAGCGUGGAACUUUCCAUGGGGACAUCAGCAGUCGGGAGACACCCAGAAGCACUGCUGUGGGCCCGCCAGCCCCCGUGUGACCUUCCUGUCCAUCUUGCUCUGGGCCUUCCGGGGGGAGGCCGGCCCGCACGGACCGCAUCCCAGUGUCCUCUGAGUACCUGCUGAAUUUGGAUCACAAGGAGCCUGGACAGGAGACUGGAGGACGGACAGAAGGGGGGCCAGGCCCAGACUGGGAAACGGUGCUUCUUGAGCUCCCCACUGGCCCCUGGGUGGCGUCUCUCUCUCCAUUCAACCUCCUCCGUCUGCAGGUUCCAGUAACUUCCUCUUCCGUCCUCUGCAGGCCUGCGCGGGCAACUGUUGGCAAGACUGCUGCGUCAGAACAAUCUAGGCAGAGCCGUGUCCCCCAGACAUCAAUGCCUGUGUCCCAGAGCCAUGGUUGGGAGAUCCAGAGAGAGGACAGCACAGACCUUCAAGAAUCAGGACAUAGGGAGUCUGAUGUCGGAAGAGGCAGAAGUUGUACCCAUCCCACAGAUGGGGUAGCAGAGGCUGGUCAAGGUUGAGCUCAAGUUCCAGGAGAGAGCAAGAGAGCAAGAGCACACAAGCAGGGGGAGCCACAGAGGGAGAGGGGGUAGCAGGCUCCCCACUGAGCAAAGAGCCUGACAUGGGGCUGGAUCCCAGGACCCCGGGAUACCAACCUGAGCCCAAUGCAGACGCUUUACCAACGGAGCCACUCAGGUGCCCUGUGACUUCCCAUCUCUCAUGGAUCUGUGAAUUGCUGUUGCUUCUUUAGUUUGCUGGACUUUUCACUGGUGAAGACGGAGUGGGCACUUCUAAGUGCACUGCUCGUAGAACUGGACACUGCAAGUCUUUGAUCCCUGAUUUCUACACAUUUUUGCUUUAUUUUAAAGAAAUAGACUAGAACUCACUGACAACCCAUGACAGAGGUGAUUUAUGUAAGAAAAGCAACAAAGCCUGUAUCCAUGGAGCCCCUUCUUGAGAAAAGAAGAAAGCUAUGGCCCAACAUGAACAGAUUGGCGAAUGAAUUUACAUGUGUGUUUUAAGAAAAAAAUAGUAUAUAAGGGUGUAUGUAUGAAGAUUUUUUUAAAAAUCCCCUGCUUUCAUCGUUUGGAUUAGCUGAGUAGCCCCCGUAGGAGUGUCUGAUGUACAUUACACCACCGACUUGUAAAGGUGCUCAUCGCGUGGCCUUCCGUGGGCUGCCCACGUCAUUUGUCCUUCGCCCCUUUCCUGUCUGAAUCUGACUGCCUGUGGGAGAAAUGUGGGAUCCUCCACACCACAGCACUCAUCAACUCAGCCAUCCCAACCCUCCCUCUCAGCCCGGGAGGAUGAACGAGGGUAGUUCCACCAAGCACCACGGCGCCUCUUACCCGACCCACACUAGGGUCCGCGGGGCUGGCUUGGAAGGAAUGAAGAUGAACACGGGCGAGGAACGUGCCUCAAAACAUCGCAGAGGCCGCACACGUCUCUGGAGCCAGACCGCUUUGGCACAAACCCCGGCUUUUCCAGCUGUGGACGGCAUGCCCCUUAAACGCUCCCCGAUUCGGUUCCCCUCCUGAAGGUGCUCUCGCAGGACUCCCCGAGUUAACAAUGAACGUAAAGUGGUGAGAACAGCGUCUGGCCGUGUAAACAGCACACGUGUGAGCCAUCGUUACGAAUCAGGGUCAUUUUGCCUCUAACGUGGUGUCCUCUGAGUGACUCUUACCCUAAAAGCAUAAAGUAAGUAAAAUAGCGCACUUCCCUCGAAGGCACGGACAUCCACUCACCUAUGAAUUAAGAAGGCAAGUGAGUGGGACUUUUGUCACUGCAAGGACACAGCCUGGCUGACAAGGGAUGUUGGAGGAGAAGAUGGCUUCAGCCUAAUGCGAGGGUAGCGGUCCCCGCUUACCUUCCAGGGAGGAGAAGAAAAAAAUGUCGUUUCAGAACUCCAAAAAAAAAAAAAAAAAGUUUAUUUAUAAAAUACUGACAAGUUUGACAGGCCAUGGGACAUCUCAUGGUAUAUAUUUCAAAUCAAUUUCUUUCUUACCUUUCAUUUAAAAAAUAAACCUGCUAACAAGCUAUAGGACAUAUAGAUAUAUAUUUUUUCUUAUAGAUAGACACCUGCCACAAUGAAUACUCUCCCCAUAAUUUUUCAUUAUAUCUUUUAAAUCAAAAAAUAAAGAUUUGUGUUGGUUUU